GCCUGGGUGGCUCAGUUGGUUGAGCAUCCGACUUCAGCUCAGGUCAUGAUCUCAUGGUUUGUGAGUUUGAGCCUCGCGUCAGGCU
rnacentral:tRNA from 1 species